rnacentral:rRNA from 1 species
UCGGGAAAGAUUGUAGUGCGGACUGCUCAGUAAUACAUAGCUAACCUGCCCUUAAGCCCUCCAUAAUCCCGGGAAACUGGGGAUAAACGAGGAUAGAAUAGGAGUUCUGGAACGAGCCUAUUUGAAUUAAGGAUGGGGCUAUGUCCCAUUAGGUUGUUGUCGGGGUAAAAGCCCGACAAGCCAUUGAUGGGUACCGGUGGUGAGAGCUAGAGCCGGGAGAUGGACUCUGAGACAUGAGUCCAGGCCCUACGGGGCGCAGCAGGCGCGCAACCUUUACACUGUACGAAAGUGCGAUAGGGGGAUUCUAAGCGCUUAUCAGCAAUGGUAAGCUUUUGCCAAGACCAAAACCCUUGGCGAAUAAGUGGUGGGUAAUACGGGUGGCAGCCGCCGCGGUAAUACCCGAGCCACAAGUGGUGACCAUUUUUAUUGGGUUUAAAGCAUCCGUAGCCGGCCUGAUUAGUCCAUGAUUAAAUCUCUUGCUAAACGAGAGGCUGUCAUAGAUACUUUCAGGCUAGGGACCAGGAGAGGUCAGAGGUACUUUUGGGGUAGGGGUGAAAUCCGUUGAUCCUAAAGGGACCACCGAUGGCGAAGGCAUCUGACUAGAAUGGCUCCGACGGUGAGGGAUGAAAGCCAGGGGAGCGAUCGGGAUUAGAUACCCCGGUAGUCCUGGCUGUAAACGAUGCCCGCUUGGCGUGAGUCGGUUUGUAGGGACUGAUUCGUGCCGAAGAGAAAUCGAUAAGCGGGCCACCUGGGGAGUACGGUCGCAAGGCUG